GACGAACGCUGGCGGCGUGCUUAACACAUGCAAGUCGAACGGAAAGGCCCUGCUUUUGUGGGGUGCUCGAGUGGCGAACGGGUGAGUAACACGUGAGUAACCUGCCCUUGACUUUGGGAUAACUUCAGGAAACUGGGGCUAAUACCGGAUAGGAGCUCCUGCUGCAUGGUGGGGGUUGGAAAGUUUCGGCGGUUGGGGAUGGACUCGCGGCUUAUCGGCUUGUGGGUGGGGGAGUGGCUUACCAAGGCUUUGACGGGUAGCCGGCCUGAGAGGGUGACCGGCCACGUUGGGACUGAGAUACGGCCCAGACUCCUACGGGAGGCAGCAGUGGGGAAUAUUGCACAAUGGGCGGAAGCCUGAUGCAGCAACGCCGCGUGCGGGAUGACGGCCUUCGGGUUGUAAACCGCUUUCGCCUGUGACGAAGCGUGAGUGACGGUAAUGGGUAAAGAAGCACCGGCUAACUACGUGCCAGCCGCCGCGGUAA
rnacentral:rRNA from 1 species